AUGCCAGGAACUCACAAUGACAUCAACGUCCUGCAGAGCUCCCCAGUCUUUGCCAGGCUUGUUGAAGGUCAUUCUCCUCCGGUGAACUUCGAGGUCAAUGGGCGGCAGUACAACAAGGGGUACUAUCUAGCUGAUGGCAUCUAUUCGAGAUGGUCGACAUUUGUGAAGCCAAUCUCAAACCCUAUGCCAGGAGGCAAGAACGCCUGGUUUGCGAGGUUUGCGGGCAUUUGGUGUGCUCCAAUCUCGAUUUUCUGUUGUCCGGUACCCUGCUCAGACCUAGUCGAAAGAUCAAAUGCGGGAGAUCAUGACUUGCUGUGUCAUCUUGCACAACAUGAUCAUUGA
rnacentral:rRNA from 1 species